rnacentral:rRNA from 1 species
ACGUGGAUAAUCUGCCCUCAGAUGAAGAAUAAUCCCGGGAAACUGGGGCUAAUGCUUCAUAGGAGACGGGUGCUGGAAUGCUCUGUCUCUGAAAGGUCCGCCGUCUGAGGAUGAGUCUGCGUCCGAUUAGGUUGUUGUUGGGGUAACGGCCCACCAAGCCUUUGAUCGGUACGGGUUGUGGGAGCAAGAGCCCGGAGAUGGAUUCUGAGACAUGAAUCCAGGCCCUACGGGGCGCAGCAGGCGCGAAAACUUUACAAUGCGAGCAAUCGUGAUAAGGAAACCCUGAGUGCCUGUUAUCGCAGGCUGUUCUGGUGUCUAACACACACCAGGAGAAAGGGCGGGGCAAGACCGGUGCCAGCCGCCGCGGUAAUACCGGCUGCUCGAGUGAUAGCCACUUUUACUGGGCUUAAAGCGUUCGUAGCUUGGUCGUUAAGUCUCUGGGGAAAUCUUUUGGCUCAACCAAAAGGCGUCUCAGGGAAACUGGCGACCUAGGAACCGGGAGAGGUAAGACGUACUUCGGGGGUAGGAGUGAAAUCUUGUAAUCCCCGAGGGACGACCGAUGGCGAAGGCAUCUUACCAGAACGGCUUCG